rnacentral:rRNA from 1 species
UACGUAGGGUGCGAGCGUUGUCCGGAAUUAUUGGGCGUAAAGAGCUCGUAGGCGGUCUGUCGCGUCUGCUGUGAAAACCCGAGGCUCAACCUCGGGCCUGCAGUGGGUACGGGCAGACUAGAGUGCGGUAGGGGAGAAUGGAAUUCCUGGUGUAGCGGUGGAAUGCGCAGAUAUCAGGAGGAACACCGAUGGCGAAGGCAGUUCUCUGGGCCGUAACUGACGCUGAGGAGCGAAAAGCGUGGGGAGCGAACAGG